rnacentral:miRNA from 1 species
AACCUCAUCGACCGGAAGGGAUUCCUUCUGGUUGAUGGGGUUGUUGUACCUCAUCAAUCUGAAGGAAAUCCUCCCAAUCAAUGAGGUAUAAAAACCCCAUCGACCGGAAGGAAUUCCUUCCAAUCGAUGAGGCG